AGAAAAAGUACAACAUAAAAAACGUGGCCUUGCUUUCAUGACGUGGUAAUACUCGAUGUCAUUUACUGGGCUUCAGACGUCUGGUAAACGGGAAGCGUGGCCUGGGCCAAUAAAUCCCUUCGAAAUGUCAGACUUUUCAGCGUCGAAAAAAUAUGGCCGUCACUUCUUCCCCGUCGUGGAGCCCCGCGAUUGGCUGAGCAGCUGCUCGUUGGAACGCGCUGAUUGGUUCCCACCGGCAUGCUGGCCGCCGCUGAUUUGCACACAUCGGGUUGCGGCGACGUCAUGGCUUUUGCCCACCGUGCCGAUGCUGAUUGGCUGUCUGUCAAGCGGAUUCGUGAACACAGUUGGUGCAACGACACGCCAUUCUAAUGACCGGCCAAGGUUGCAUUUUCACAUUUCAUACAUUAGAAUGUAGGAGGAGCUAUGACACUGCCGGCUGACAGCUGGAGGAAGUGAGACACAUCAAAUGUAGGAGUGGCUGCUUCCCAGCGGGAAUGACACUGUUCAAUCAACCUUAUAUGUAUAUUUACAAUUUUUAAAUAAAAUGUUAAUAAAAUAUGAACCAAAGACAGCUUUCACCCCUGAAUUACUUGCCUUCAUUUUGUUGUAACUAUAGAGUGAGUCAUAUUUGACAUUCCUAUGUACAAAGAUAAAUAUUUAUCAUGGAAUUUCUCACUCAUAUUUGAAAAUAAUAAUUCAGUAUAAUAAUAAUAAUAAUGGCGUGGUCUGUUAGAAUGCAACUGGUUAUAUGGAGUUCACAGUUAUGGCUUUAUUUAAUGAAAAUAUGUGUUCCUUGAGCUGCAUUUCCUUCUAUUUCAAUACCCAAAUUUAUAUUUCUUGUUAAUGCCAGUUAAUCCCAAUGGAUUUCAUUGUAUGCACCUACAAUGACAAUAAAGGCGAUUCUGAUUCUAGUUUA